UCUCUUCUUUAUUUCUAUCGAACCACUCAAACAGAAAUCCAUUGCUCCCACCACCAUUUCCAUCUCCAUAGCUCCCGCCACCUCCACAAUUUCUACCACCGCCACCACAACUAGCACCACCAUCUCCGUCAUGCCUUCCACUGCUAUCAACAGAUCUGGAAAUUGAUGAUAUGGUUUGAAAAACAACUUUUAAAGGUAGAUAAAUUUAAUCAAUAAUACCAAUCGACAUUAUGAUCAGAUCCAAAGGUAAACGAUUGAUUAGGUGUUUACUUUAUUUGGAUGUUGUUGUGGUGGUGGUGGGUGUACUUGCAUCGAAGGAAAAGAUGGUGAUUGUGUCUUUGCAGCAGUGAUGGUGGUGGUUGCGGAGGUGAUGGUGGUGGAUUUUCUUUGUAGUGGUGAGGGUGUUGGUGUUGGUGUCGGUGAUAACAACAAAAACGAGCAAAGAUUUCAAUUGAACUAGUGUGGGAGUUGAAUGACUUCUCUUAACUGACGAGAUAAACUAUUUGGGUUCUUUGCACAAUUGGAUCCUCCUCCAGCAAGAACUGGUCCAGAACAGCCAUGGAAGUGUUGGUGGUGGCGAUGGUGGGUGGUGGCUGUUGCGGGUGGUGGCGGACUGAUGGCGACGGCGUCGGUAGUGGUGGUGGAUUUAGUGGUGGUGCUGGUAGCGGCGGCGGUGGUGGACUACUGGUGGUGGCAUCAGUGGAGGACUGGUGAUGGUGGUGUAAUGGCGGUGGAGUGGUGGUGGUGGCGGUUGAUGGUGGUGGUUGGUAGGUGGUGGUCGUUGAAGGUUGAUGGUGGAAUGUUAGUUGAAUAUUGGUGGUGGUGGUGGAACAGUGAUGGUGGUGCUGGUGAAGUUGCAGUGGAAGAAAUUUGUUCCAUUUUGAAAUAAAGAAAAAUUAUAUGGUCGAGGGUAUUAAGGUAAUCUAAUAUUAAAUGGAUAAAGUUAUUAAAAAGUAGGGACAUAUUUUUUUUGACAAAGGCGCAAUAUAUUAGUAUAUAGAUAGCAUUUGUACUAGGAUUAUUUACAAGACAUCACGAUUGUCUGUUUCGAAAAUGAUAUUCCAAUAGU